UACGUAGGGGCUAGCGUUGUCCGGAAUCAUUGGGCGUAAAGCGCGCGUAGGCGGCCCAGUAAGUCCGUUGUAAAAGUCAAAGGCUCAACCUUUGAAAGCCGAUGGAUACUGCUGGGCUAGAGUCCGGAAGAGGCGAGUGGAAUUCCUGGUGUAGCGGUGAAAUGCGAAGAUAUCAGGAGGAACACCGGUGGCGAAGGCGCCACUCUGGGCCGAAACUGACGCUGAGGAGCGAAAGCGUGGGUAGCAAACAGG
rnacentral:rRNA from 1 species